rnacentral:rRNA from 1 species
AGUGAACGCUGGCGGUAGGCCUAACACAUGCAAGUCGAACGGCAGCACAGGAGAGCUUGCUCUCUGGGUGGCGAGUGGCGGACGGGUGAGGAAUACAUCGGAAUCUGCCCAGUCGUGGGGGAUAACGUAGGGAAACUUACGCUAAUACCGCAUACGACCUUCGGGUGAAAGAGGGGGAUCGCAAGACCUCUCGCGAUUGGAUGAGCCGAUGUCGGAUUCGCUAGUUGGCGGGGUAAUGGCCCACCAAGGCGACGAUCCGUAGCUGGUCUGAGAGGAUGAUCAGCCACACUGGAACUGAGACACGGUCCAGACUCCUACGGGAGGCAGCAGUGGGGAAUAUUGGACAAUGGGCGCAAGCCUGAUCCAGCCAUACCGCGUGGGUGAAGAAGGCCUUCGGGUUGUAAAGCCCUUUUGUUGGGAAAGAAAUCUUUCAGGCUAAUACCCUGGGAGGAUGACGGUACCCAAAGAAUAAGCACCGGCUAACUUCGUG